AGCGCAGACGGUUUAUUAAGUCUGAUGUGAAAGCCCGGAGCUCAACUCCGGAAUGGCAUUGGAAACUGGUUAACUUGAGUGCAGUAGAGGUAAGUGGAACUCCAUGUGUAGCGGUGGAAUGCGUAGAUAUAUAGAAGAACACCAGUGGCGAAGGCGGCUUACUGGACUGCAACUGACGUUGAGGCUCGAAAGUGUGGUAGCAAACA
rnacentral:rRNA from 1 species